rnacentral:rRNA from 1 species
AUGCUGCUCCGCCUCGGCCGCGUGCCCACCCUGGUCGUCUCGUCCGUGGACGCGGCGCGCGAGGUGCUGCAGCUGCAGGACCACGCUUUCGCCAACCGGCCCUCGCUCGCCAUCCCGCGGCGGCUCCUCUACGGCUGCACGGACAUCGCCUUCGCGCCCCACGGCGCCUACUGGCGCGGCGUGCGCAAGAUCGCCGUGCUCUACCUGCUGAGCCCCGCCAGGGUGCGCGCCUACCGCGGCGUGCGCGAGGAGGAGGUCGCGGAGCUUGUCCGGAAGGUGGAGCGGCAGGCACACGCAGGCGGCGGCGUGGUGCGCCUGAGCGAGCUCCUGAGCGGCUUCGCCAAGGACGUGAACGGGCGGAUCGUGCUCGGGGUGCGCGCCUCGGGCGGGGCCGGGUGGCGUGCCAAGGCCAACGCGCUGCUCGGGGAGUUCCACGUCGGCGACUACAUCCCGUGGCUGGCGUGGGUGGCCGCCGUGGACGGGACGGACGCCAAGGUGAGCAGGGCGUUCGAGAGGAUCGACCGGAUCCUCGAGGAGAUCAUCGUGGCCGCGAGCGCUGGCACGGGUGCCGCCACGUCGAGGCGUUCGCGCAUGUGCUGCUCUCGCUUCAGGGUGGUUCGAGCGGGGCUGGGUGGCGCUUGA